AACGAACGCUGGCGGCAUGCGUAACACAUGCAAGUCGAACGAGAUCCUUCGGGGUCUAGUGGCGCACGGGUGCGUAACGCGUGGGAAUCUGCCCUUAGGUUCGGAAUAACAGUUAGAAAUGACUGCUAAUACCGGAUGAUGACGUUAAGUCCAAAGAUUUAUCGCCUGAGGAUGAGCCCGCGUAGGAUUAGCUAGUUGGUGUGGUAAAGGCGCACCAAGGCGACGAUCCUUAGCUGGUCUGAGAGGAUGAUCAGCCACACUGGGACUGAGACACGGCCCAGACUCCUACGGGAGGCAGCAGUGGGGAAUAUUGGACAAUGGGCGCAAGCCUGAUCCAGCAAUGCCGCGUGAGUGAUGAAGGCCUUAGGGUUGUAAAGCUCUUUUACCCGGGAUGAUAAUGACAGUACCGGGAGAAUAAGCCCCGGCUAACUCCGUG
rnacentral:rRNA from 1 species